rnacentral:SRP_RNA from 1 species
CAUCGAACAGCCAGCGCGAGAAGUCCUUCGAACGAUCAAGGAGCACUUCGAAGAGCUCUCCAAAAAGGCCUCCACGGCCUGGAGGGAGAGGAAUCUGAAGCACUUCAACAGCGACCUCGAGGCCCUGGAGGAGGCGGACAAG